AUGACAUCUGCAAAGACCCCUGGUCUUUUACAUCACAGGCUCUGGGGCUUCGGGACAACGACCUGUCUUUUGAGGGCCACCAUUCAACCAGCUACAAUCACCUUGAAAAAACAGUUUAUGGGAGUUCCCGUCGUGGCGCAGUGGUUAAUGAAUCCGACUAGGAACCAUGAGCCUCAAGUAUCUGAGACCAAGGUCAUUCACGAUGCCUGGGCACACGGUUUCUCUCUCCCUGUGAUGUCGUUCUCGAGACCGCUCCUAUGACUGCUGCUGCGGAGACACGGAGCCAAUCCAGAGCGGACUGCCAGUGACGACACCAGUCGCCAAGGCCUCCAAGGGCCCAGAACAUAGUGGCGCCCUCUGGCGGGGAAAGGGAGGCAGUAUGUGAGAGACAGCCAAUCUGGUCAGCUGACUUCGGCCAAGUUCCAGUGCCUGGUGCAACACCCCCUGGCAACUCAAGUCACUUUCCAUCUCCAGAAACCCGACCAGAAGAGAGACAUGCUGAGAGGAAGCAAAGAUCAAGAAUCCUGGCAUCCAAUCAGAUACAGGAAUUAACGCAACAGCCGUCCAAUCAGAUGAGCGGAUCCAACCAAAUAGAGCAGGUAUCCAAGUAGAUGGGGCAGAGUUGCCAUGACGACUCGAGUCUCUACAGGGUUUGCAGGGUCCCCGCGCUCAGACGCUUUUGAGCGCCCCCUGGCGCUUGGCCCCUUACUCCAGCAAGCGCGUGCUGGCUGAAGGCAGCCAAUAAGGCCGGGUACAGCCUCCGUGACGUCACUAGUUGCGGAGCGGGCCCCCGGAGUGCGUGAGCUCGAAGGCGAGUUCGCGUGAGCUCUUGCGAGCCCGCGGGCGGGUCGCGCGCGCUUUCUCCAGUGCGGUGGUUGGUGCGCAUGCGCUCGUGUUUCUCUUUCUUUUUUUUUUCAGCGUGAGGCGCGAUAAAAGGCGGGAAAAAGCCUGAGGCGAAGCGUGAGGUGAGACGACCAGGUGGACCAGGGGGACGACCGGGUUGACUGACGGACCCAUGGACGGA
rnacentral:lncRNA from 1 species